rnacentral:rRNA from 1 species
UACAGAGGGUGCGAGCGUUGUCCGGAAUCACUGGGCGUAAAGGGCGCGUAGGUGGCGAUCCAAGUCCAUGGUGAAAGCUCGAUGCUCAACAUCGAGUCGGCCACGGAUACUGGGUUGCUUGAGCACUGUAGGGGCAGAUGGAAUUCCGGGUGUAGCGGUGGAAUGCGUAGAGAUCCGGAAGAACACCGGUGGCGAAGGCGGUCUGCUGGGCAGUAGCUGACGCUGAGGCGCGACAGCGUGGGGAGCAAACAGG